AUUGGCUAAACUCUUUUUUACCCGCGAACGGUGUUUCCGUUUCCGCUAGGAGGCUCGCAUGUUGGCUAACGUCAUGACGAUUCGUAAUGCAUUUUAUGGCACAGGAGUUUGAAAAAAAAAUUCCCUCACCAAAGACAUAACAAGGAAAGCAGUGCCAAAAUGGCUGAUUGGUGCCAGGGACAGGGGAUGCAACCGUGCCAUUAGAGCACAUGGAGGAGAGCAAAACCUGGGGGUGAAGCAGCAGACCAAACUGCAGAAAGCCAGGACUAGGGCUGUGUUCCUCCAUCUAUGUUACUUCCUGUAUGUUUCUGUAUGUUCCUGUUGCAGUGUUCCUCCAUCUAUGUUACUUCCUGUAAGUUUCUGUAUGUUCCUGUAUGUUCCUUAGCAGAAAGCGUUCCUGUUUGCUCUCCUGGUGUUUUUUUUUUUUCUCGUAGUUUCCAAUAAAUCGGACAAAUGUCAAUGUUGACAGAA